UGAAGUGCGACACGGGUUGUGCUCUCCCCCCUCAGGCGCUGCCCGACCCGCUGGGUGUUUCCAGCCUCCCCGGGCUGAGGGGUGUGAUGGCGGCGAGGGGCGAGGGGGCAGCUGCUGCACGGUAAAUGAAGGGUCAGAUUAUGGAAGGAGCUGCCGGAGGAGGUGGGCGAGGCAGGCAACACCCUACUGAUGUACUGUAUCCAGUCUGGAAGGUUUACUUUCCACCAUUCCUGGCCAGGAUCAGGCAGAACCGUUGUGUUUGAUUCCAAAACAUGGACAGAGUUUUUAUAUAAUUCCUCAGAGAGCUCCAUGACAUCCUUGCAGAACAUUUCCAAACAGACCAAUGAUUCUGGAAAUACACAGAAUAAGGACUGUUCUAAAGGGGGAAAAAAAAGAGAAGGAUUUUUUGGUAUAAUACAAAAUUGUGGAGUCGUUUCAUGUUGAAAUGCAGUGGAAAUUCCUAUGUCAAGCUGUUGUCUAUGACCAAAUAUAAAAUUAGCAACAGUCAACUGAAGCUAUCUUAAGAAUGAAACAAAAACAGAAAUGCUGGAAGAACUCAGCCAGUCAGCCAGAUUCCAGCAUCCGCAGUUUUAUUUGUCUUCCGUAUCUUGUGCAGAACUGAUGAUAUCACAGGGCUUUUCAAUGUUAAAUGCCAGAUAACUUCAGCUGCCAAAACAAUAAUUGUCAGAAUGUGUGUUGAGAGUUAAUAUUAAAUAACUAUUUAUUUUACAAGGUCUUAUGACUAAUUGUUAAUGAGAAUGUAUUGAAAAUCCCUUACGAUGAUUUGCAGAGUUUGGAUUCAACAACAUUUAAGAAGUGUCCAGACGAGCAUUUGAAUCACCUGGGCAUACAAGGGUCUAGGCUGAGUGCUGGAAGAUGGGAUUAGUACAGCUGGAUGCCCACUGGUCAGUGUGGAUACAGUCAUAGAGUCAUACAGCAUGGAAACAGGCCCUUUGGCCCAACUCAUUCAUGCCGACCAUGGUGCCUACCAAGCUAGUCCCAUUUACCCGCGUUUGGCCCAUAUCCUGCUAAUCCCCUCCUAUCCAUGGAUGUGGUGGGCUGAAUGGCCUGCUUUCAUGCUGUAAGACUCUAUGACAUAAAGACAUUAGAAACAGAAGCAGGAGUGGUCCAUACAUUCACAUACAUGUUCUAUCUUUCAAUAAGAUCAAGGCCGAACUGCUACAACAACUCAUCUUUUUCUGUCCUAUCUCCAGUUUCGUCUUUUGCCCAAAAACCUACCAAUCUCAUCCUUGAAUACACUCAUGAAUUGAGUAUCUACAGCCUACUGGGAUGGAGGAUUCAUAACCCUUUGAGCAGUGAAAUUUCUCCCCACUUAAAUCUUAGUUAGCUAGGUUCUUAUCACAAGUCAACAGCCUUGUUAUAGGCUCUCAAGGCCACAGAAGAGAGUACUUUACAUCUAACACGAAAUAUAAUUUUCAUUUAUAAAGCAUUAGCCCUACAGACCUCCCAGAUAAUUAACCCCACCGUAGCAAAGAAAUUUGACAUGUCCCUGUUGACUCUAAUUUUUAUCAACGCACCACAGAAAGCAUCCUAUCCGGAUGCAUCAUGGCUUGGUACGGCAACUGCUCUGCCCGGGACCACAAGAAACUGCAGAGAGUUGUGGACACAGCUCAGCACAUCACGGAAAGCAGCCUCCCCUCCAUGGACUCUAUCCACCAGGCUGUGCUCCUUCUCCCACAUACAAACAGAAGCUGAGAUGGCAGGAUCUGGUACAGAAAGUCGUACAGUGCUGGUCUGAGGAAAUAGAUGAGCUUCUACGUGAAUGCUUUGAGUCAGUAGACUGGUCCAUGUUCAAAGACUUAGCUGCCAGCCUAGAUGAGUAAGUCACCACCAGGUAGGGGGGGGGUGGUGUUGAAAGUUAAUAUUAAAUAAGUAUUUAUUUUACAAGGCUCUUAUGACUGACAAACUGACAUACCAGCAUUGGAUUUGGAAAUACAGCUCCCAACAGUCCGGCUUUCUUUGUUAUGCAUGUGUAUCAAUUCCUGUCACAAAAUAAAGAAGGAGAAAUGCAUAUUAUUUAGUCUAAGGAUAAAGAAUAAGCUACUUAAGGCCACAAAGAAGAGAAAUUUGUUCCACCAGAGAAUGGGGGACCUUUGGAUUACAGAGAAAACUGUUGAAGUCAAAUCAUUAAAUAUAUUUAAGCAAGAAUUCAAUAUUGUUAUUAGGACUAGAAGGGUAAAGGAAUAUGGGGAGGAAGCCGGAACUGGAUACGAAAUCUGGAUGAUCAUUCAUGAUCAUAUUGAAUGGCAGAGCAGGAUAGAUGGGUCGAGUGGCCUGCCCCUGCUCCUGUUAUUUUUAUUUGUUCCGUUUUUUAUUAUUUUAUGUUUUGUCAGGUUACUGGGGAAAAAAACAUUUUAGUUGUUUGAAGAACAAAGUAUUCAGCAGGCCAUUUGUUUACUACAGUAAAUCCUGCAUGUCUGCAAAUUUGGUGGUCCGGGACUAGCAGAUAUUCCAGACUAUUGGAUGUUAUUUUCUUUAAUACACCAACAUACCAUUAAUUCGCUUUUAUAAAACAUGUUGCACAGCAACGUUUCAGUGAACCCAGUACAUUUAAAGGGAGCAUGGGAGACGCAACAAGUGAUUGGAAGGGAAGUGCAGGAACCAGGCUGCAGACAAGUGGAUCGGGAGCACAGGAACUGGGGCCCCAGUGAGUGGACAGAGAGCAUGGGAACCAGGACCCCGGGAAGUGGUGAGAAACAUGGGAACUGGGGGCCCAGCGAGUGGAAGCUGCAAACAUCAUCUGGCGAGCAAGAUGCCAAACCAUCAGAAUCAGUUCCGUCGAAGAGAGGUGAUGCUAUUGGUGGCUUCUGCUGAUUCAGUUCCAUUCCACCUACAGGGAGCAUCAGAAAACAGCUUCCAAGUUCACAAAAAUUGUUAUGUUUCAAGGGUCUUUCCUUGUCUUUUUUUUAACCAAACAGCUGUUUUUUUUUGGUAGUGGGUGUAGUUUUUUUUAUAAUAAAAUUAUUCCAAUUUUUUUCUUUAUUAACUAAGUAUCACAUGUGAUUAUUAAUUUAGAGUAUU